rnacentral:rRNA from 1 species
AUUGAACGCUGGCGGCAUGCUUUACACAUGCAAGUCGAACGGCAGCGCGGGCUUCGGCCUGGCGGCGAGUGGCGAACGGGUGAGUAAUACAUCGGAACGUGCCCAGUAGUGGGGGAUAGCUCGGCGAAAGCCGGAUUAAUACCGCAUACGACCUGAGGGGGAAAGCGGGGGAUCUUCGGACCUCGCGCUAUUGGAGCGGCCGAUGGCAGAUUAGCUAGUUGGGGGGGUAAAGGCCUACCAAGGCGACGAUCUGUAGCUGGUCUGAGAGGACGACCAGCCACACUGGGACUGAGACACGGCCCAGACUCCUACGGGAGGCAGCAGUGGGGAAUUUUGGACAAAGGGCGAAAGCCUGAUCCAGCAAUGCCGCGUGUGUGAUGAAGGCCUUCGGGUUGUAAAGCACUUUUGGCGGGAACGAAAAGGACUGUGCCAAUACCACGGUUCGAUGACGGUACCCGCAGAAUAAGCACCGGCUAACUACGUG